rnacentral:lncRNA from 14 species
UGACUCUGGAUGACAUUGUCCCAUUAUGAUUCCAAAGACAAUUCUCUGUCUUCUGUCUUCUGUCUUGAUCAAGAUCUUCCAAGAUCUGAUGCAGCAGGGAAUUCCCUGUAGGAGACACAAACCUCCUCCUGAAUUUUCUGUGUGGGCAACACUAUAAACCAGCUCUGAAAGAAAAAAAAAAAGUAAAAGCCUCUUAAUUCAAUGAUUCUGGUUAUAUUUAGUAAUAAAAUGUUUCUAUUGACAGAUCAGAGUGAAGGGCCCCCGGUACUGGGAAUUAUUAAUAGAUUUAAGCAAGGGAACGACUCAUCUCCAGUCGAUCCUUUCCAAGGGUGGCAUCCUGUACGUGAAGCUCCGGGCUGGGCAGCUCUCCUACAAGGAGGAUCCCAUGGGAUGGCGCAGCCUCCUGGCACAGACCGUCACCCACCGCAACUCGGAAGCGCGGGCCUUCAAGGUACUGCUCCCAGGGUGCUUCCUGCCAGGAACGCUGCUGCGGGAGGGAAUUCUGCUGGCUUUCACAGGACAGACACGUGUUGGUGCAUCUGCGUGGGCAGACACAGGUGUUGGACAUGUCCUGCCCAUGAAGUGCUUGAUCAUGGAAUCAUUUAGGGUGGAAAAGUCCUCCAGGGUCAUGGAGUCCAACCUUUACAUGAUUGAAUCCAAAUUUUAGAUCAUGGGGUCCAACCUUCACAUCAUGGAAUCCAACUUGUAGAUUGCAUCCAGCCUUUAGAUCAUGGAGUCCAACCUUCAAAUCAUGGAAUCCAACCUUCAGAUCAUGGAAUCCAACUUUUAGAUUGCAUCCAGCCUUUAAAUCAUUGAAUCAAAAUUUUAGAUCACUGAGUCGAGCCUUUAGAUCAUCUAGUCUAGCCUUUAUAUUGAGUCCAGCUUUUAGAUCAUUGAGUCCAACCUUUAGGCAUGGAUUCCAGCCUUUGGUAUGGGUUCCAGUUUUCUCCCUUGUGUUCUGGACACUUUGGAAAUCAGUUGUUGCUACCUUUGUGCACAAAUUCAAAAAGUUCACUUUAGGAAUGUGUUUUAAUCCCUUUUUUUUUUUGCAGCCAGAAGCAAUUUCUGCUUUCACUUCCGAUCCUGCUCUCUUUUCCUUUGCUGAUUAUUUUUGUAAACCGACUAUGGACAUGGGCCAGGUAGGAAGUGUUGGUGUGGACCAACACUUAUUCCAUGGAUAAAAAGUAGGGAAAACCUGCCUUAAAUUCUAGAGCAGAAUUUAGCCCUGCAACCAUCAGGAGCAGGGAAUAUCCUGCAGGAUGUUGUGUAAUACAAGGGUGAUCCUUUGAUUCCUGUUGGAUGGAUAUUGGGAUUUUUUGUCCCAUUCCUUGAGGAAUGUGUUUAACAGAUCCAGAGGGCCAUGAAGCAUUUAGGGGAAGUCACAGAAGGUGCUUUAUGUGGAAUUUCUUUAAAAAUUAUUUAAGGGAGGGUAUAAAACCCAGUUUAAUUAUCCCAGGGUAGAAGUCAAGUGGUAUCAUUAAUUAUCCCAAAUUCCUGUGAUGCCACUGCAUGGAUUAACUUCAGUUAAUUAAUCAGUUAAUUAAUUCCAGGCAGGAACCUGGAAUAAAUUGUGCCUGACACCUGUCUUUCUUCAGAAACAGGAAAUCCUGGAUCUUUUCUCCUCCAUCCUUUACGAGUGUG